GAGAGCAGUAGGGCAUCAGAGAAAGGGAGGGAAUCAGAGGGAGAAAGGGAAAAAGCCUACCGGCGGUGGAGCGGAGAGGCAGCGGCGACGGUGCAACCUCCUUCCACUCUGGUGGGAUGUGAGAAGGCUCGAGGGAGGAGGAGCUGCGGUGCGAUGUGAGCUGCAGAAGGAGGUCGUGCGCUGAGGAGGGAGGUCGAGUGCCCGAAACAACGAGUGGGUGAAAUUUCACCCAAGGAGGUCGUGCGCUGAGGAGGGAGGUCGUGCGCUGCGGAAGGAGCUCGGACUUUUGAGCGGGUGGAAUUCCACCCGCUCCCUUUUGGGUUAAACGGGUGGAAUUUCAUCCCGUUUGACGGGAUUUCAAUCGGGCGGGUGAAAUUUCACUCGCCCGUACCAAUUUCUUCUCCCCGGGUGGAUUUCAACCGCCCAUCAAACGGGCCCUUAAUGCAAACCUCCCUCUCCUCAAACCCCUUUUCUCUCUAUUAUUGUAGGAAUAUAGAAUGCCUGCAACUCAGGGGCAAAGCUAAAAAUUUGAUUGAAAUAUAAUUUUUCAAAAUUUUUAUAUACAAUAAAUAUUUUUUGAAGAGACCCCUGCCGGCCGUUGGCCCCUGUGUAACUCAAUGGUUCCACGACUUAAGCUCAUGAUGGCAUUGCUUUGGCGGAGAAGCAAAGAGCACCAUUUUACAAAUGUAGCAAUUCGUGGGAAUGCCACCUUCUACCAGGUAAAACAGAGAAGAUAUGACAUUUUUGGUGUUUGGGGAUAUUUUACAAGAGAUCGAGAUCCAAAUCCAAAUCCAAGGAGUUGAAGUGGAUCAAAUCUAGGAUCCAAAUCCUCAUAGGCUUCCUUCAAAUAAAAUGCCAAACACCGACGUCUUUUUUUGUUAUGGCGUCGGAGGCUAUGGUAAAACCGACAAUUGGUGUUAGUAGUAGCUGACGAAGAGUAGCAGGGCCCCAAUCGACGAUCUCCAAUAGCACAGCCAUUACCCCUUGCUGAUUGAGAUGCAAAAGCAGCAAGCUGCAUCGAAACGACGCUCCAACUUUUCUCAUUUGCAUCGUCGGGUUCUGGAUUUCCUCCUCCAAUCUUCGCGGGCAUCUCAAUUUUCCUAGGAAGGCCGUAAGCUGUGUGUGAAAUCCAGGUGGUGACUUGAUGAGCAUGUAAGAAUAUGGUAAACAAGGGGGAAUGGAAGUAUUUGCUCGAUUUGUGCUACUAACUUUUUAUUAUUUGUAUGUCUGGGUAUAUGGAGUAUCAUUGUUUCUGGAUUCAUUUGGAGAGGUGUUAAUGCUUUGAUGCAAGUUUUUCUAUAUUCGUUCUCAGGGCUGUCAAUUCACUGUAAAUUUGGUGUGGGUGACCGGUGAUACUCUGUAAUGCUUAAAGGGUAAGCAAGUUCCUACCCACCACCCGGAAAAGAGGCCGAAGAACAAAUCUCGUUGCUUUUGGGUCCUGGGUCAGUAUCAACAUGACAGCAGUGCACUCCUCAACUCAUAUACUAUGCUCCACUACUUAGAUGCAAAGACAAUAUACUUAUGACUAGAUACAGUCCCUUUUCACGGGCCCUUAGUCUGACCAGCUGCACUAUGUCUUUUGUGGCUGCUAAAUUGAUGAAAAAUAUCUUAAA